AUGGACACUUUGCACCCUACCAUGUCCCAGGAUCACUUGCACUCAGAUUACAAUAUUCAAAGAACACAGCAGUACUAUUCUGGAGAAAAUGAGCCUGCUGGGGAAAGACUUAAAAAAUACAUAGGUUGCAAGUGUCCUGGGAGCUGGUGGAGCUACUCAGAGAGGACAUCAAACUCCAGAGAGAGACAAAGGAGACAAGAGCACAGGAGAGAGACAGUGCAGAGACUGUUUUCUCUUCUUGAGAGAAUACUUAAAAAAUACAUUAUUUAUUAGCCAAGAGAAAGCAGUGGAAAAAAAUUCAUUAAAAUUUUUCAAAAUCUUUUUUUUAAAUGUCACAUUGUCAAUGAAACAACCUAAUUUUUGUAGUUUAUUUUUAUGAUGUAAGUUAAAAAUGAAUCAAAUUGUAUACAUUAUUCCUUUUUGUAGUGUAAUUUAUUUGUAAAUUUGUAAAUGACCCUG
ensembl:lncRNA